CUUCUGUGUUGUUUUAUUGCUUACAUCCAGCGAGAGAGUAAGGCAGGAUACAGAUUGUUAUGUGUUGUCCUAGACUUCCGUUUGCAAUAAGGAGCAUACACAAUGCCAUACCAAAGUGAGUUUAUUGACAUUCCUUGAAGAUGGUGUGAUGGAAGAGAAAGCGCGGCCUGAGUAUCACGUGACAUUUCUCUUGCUGAUGUAAGCAAAAUCAGCCCAAUAACGUGGACUUCUCCUGCUAUUGACUAGAACAGACUUUUGAACAAAAUUGUUGUAGACAUUUCCUUGGAUAAAUUGGAAGCUGCAGGAAGUAGGCUAAAGGAACAAUAUUUACUCUAUAUACUACCUCUAGGCACCUUUUUUCCUACUAGAACAAAGGGACUACAUGUCACUAACAGGAAAAUAACACUUUCUCUUUUCUUUUGGACCUUAUGAUGGCUGGAACAUCCAUCCCAGAUUUUUAUGAUAUAGUAUUGCGGUAGUUUUAAUAAUGAACACUGAAGUACGUAAUAAUAAUAAUAAUAAAAAUAAUAAUAAUAAUAAUAAUAAAGCACCACAUUUGUUAUGUAAAGUUCUAACUACUUUCAUUUGAAAGUGUUUCAUCUUGACUGGGAAAAUAUUUGUGGCAACUGAGAAAUUUCCGAACCCAAAUUUUGGACACAUGGUUUGACACAUGGACUGAAAAUAUGAUGGAUGUAAUAUUAAAACUACCCUGGAAAACUCAGCCAUUGGCUUGCCACACAAAUAUACUUACUGUUCAAGGACAUAUGGUCAUGUAUUAAAAGAAAAUUUAGAUCUUGCAUGUUUAACGCCUGCUCCCCCAAAUCAUAUGUCUCUUUUUCUUAAUUUUUUCACCACUCUCUCGGCAUCUUCACAACCUCCACUCAUUUAUAUACAUAGGAAAUUACAAAGAGUUCAGUAGAUUUAGAAUACUUCUCCUGACCUCACAGAAUCAAUUUCCAUUUUUAGGAUUAUCAUCUUCACACUGUAGAAUAAAACAUUUGUGAUAUCCAUGAAAUUAUUAUAACACUUUAUAGAAUUUUAAAAGCAUUUUUCAAAGUUGUAACAUAAAUCUUCUCUUAUUUAUUGUUCUUGUUUGUCCCCUGAUUAAAGGCGUUACACUCUUACUAAAAUCAAUUGUUUUAGGGAGAUUGUGGCUUAUAAAUUUAUAAGUGAUUAAUUUUGCAAUUUGCCUCCAUGGAGAAAACUCAUGCUUAAAAAAAAAUUACAGGUGGUAACAAAUAGAUCUGUCUUUCUGCCGAACUAUAUAAUUUAAGGUGGUUUAUACCUCCACCUAAGUGAAAUUUAGUUCUAUAGCUAUUUCAUUUCAUAUACAUAUUGAAUGAAAAAUUAUAUAUAAUUUAAAAAUCAGCCUUAUAAAUAAGGUAAACAUGAAUUUCCAUAACUUGUUUCUGUGUUCCUCUUCUCUUUGUUUUUCUUCCUUAAGGAUUCUAUGCAAGGUUGCAAUAAAAUAUUACAAGCUUCAUCUUCUUUCAGGUGACCGUGACAUCAGCAUUUCUUCAUGAAAUUUUGCACUUUUGUGAAAGAAUGUUCCUGUUAUGCUUUGUGGGAUAGAUCUAUAGCUGUGACAUCAGUAGUACUGGUGGAUAAGGAAACGGUAGUUGAAAAAUCAUGUAUGCCAAAGUUACCUAUCUAUAUAUAAUUUCUGAGAUACUGCAUUCCUUUUGUAUAUGGGUAGAUUAGAUAUUAAUUAAUCUAAUUAAUAGAUUAAUUAGUAAUUUAUAUAAAUUGCAAAGCUCUCCAGGAGCUGGUCCAUCUUGUAAACAGCUUUCUCCUUUUCCAAUGCCUGACAAAUAAUGUGAGUACUAGAAAGAGAGUGCUUGAAUUAAUGAGUAUUUACAUAUAUAUAACACCAAGUUCUAAAGAUAAAAGAUGCCCCUAUAUUAGAGAUGUUGUUGCAAGAGUUAGAAUAAGGUUAUGGUUCAAUGAUUUGCAUAGUCCUUAUGCUCUGAUUUCAUAAAUAAAACAAUAGCUCCAUUGGAAUCCAUUAUUUUUCAGAUGCUGAACGUGUACUGAAUUUUACAUAUCCCUCAAAUUCUAUAUCAUAUAACUUACAGAUUCCAUCCUGUCUCAGUAAAUAUUCUUUUUAGACAAUAAAAGUCUAAAUUUCUAUAAUGUAUACUCCUUGAUUGACAACGGACACAUCGCUGCAAGGGGUGCUGGGCAUUGUAGAUAAUUCCUACUAAAAAAAUGCUUUUAUUUUUAUUUAUUUUUUUUUUAGAUGGUGUCUCCCUUGAUCAUCCAGGCUGGAGUGCAGUGGCACAGUCUUGGCUCACUGCAACCUCUGCUUCUCAGGUUUGAGCGAUUCUCCUUCCUCAGCCUCCCAAGUAGCUGGGACUACCGGCAUGUGCCAUCACGCCCGGCUAAUUUUUGUAUUUUUAGUAGAGAUGGGGUUUCACCAUGUUGGCCAGGCUUGUCUUGAACUCCUGACCUCAAGCGAUCUCCCCACCUCGGCCUCCCAAAGUGCUGGGAUUACAGGCAUGAGCCACCGCUCCUGGCCGGAAUGCUUUAGAGUGUAGGAACACAAAUAACACACUGUCCAGACACAAACUGGUAUAAUGAGCCAUUGGCUUCAUAUGAAAUUCACUUCGUCUUACAUUUCUCCCUUGUUUUAAUAUGGAAAACAAUUAAAUGACAUUUAAAUAGUGGGGUCUCUUGAGCUCUUCUUUUUCCCAGUGAAGAAAAACACUUUCAUUUAUGACCUAUUUCAGGCAACAUGGAUAACAACGUUAGAAAAAUAGCAAAUGACCAUUAUGGUUGGGUUUAUUUCAAAUGUAGUUGAGAGGUUAGGC
rnacentral:lncRNA from 1 species